AGGGCGCAGGGCGAAUGCCUUGGCACUGGGAGCCGAUGAAAGACGUGAUAAGCUGCGAUAAGCUUCGGGGAGCUGCAAAUAAGCAUUGAUCCGGAGAUUUCUGAAUGAGGAAACUCACCUGGGUUCAUACUCAGGUACGUUAUACUGAACUUUAAAAUAGGUAUAUCGAGGGAACCGCCUGAACUGAAACAUCUAAGUAGGGCGAGGAAGAGACAUCAAACGAGAUUCCGUAAGUAGUGGCGAGCGAACGCGGAAGAGGGCAAACCGAGAGUAGAAAUACUUUCGGGGUACGGACUGCUUUUAGGACUUAAUCUGUUAACCGAACGGCAUGGGAAGGCCGGUCAGAGAGUGUGAGAACCACGUAGGUGAAAACGGAGAGAGCUGCGCAGGAUCCAGAGUACGGCCAGACACGUGAAACCUGGUCGGAAUACGGGGGGACCACCCUCCAACCCUAAAUACUACCCAGUGACCGAUAGCGUAUAGUACUGUGAAGGAAAGGUGAAAAGCACCCCGGGAGGGGAGUGAAAAAGAACCUGAAACCCUGUGCCUACAAGCACCUAGAGCGCGUCAAAGCGUGAUAGGGUACUUUUUGUAGAACGGUCCGGCGAGCGAUUGUAUGCAGCAAGGUUAAGGACUUAAGGUCUGGAGCCGAAGCGAAAGCGAGUUUGAAAAGGGCGUUAAGUUGCAUAUAAUGGGCCCGAAACCGGGUGACCUACCCAUGGUCAGGUUGAAGUGGAAGUAAAAUUCCAUGGAGGACCGAACCGACCUCCGUUGAAAAGGCGGCGGAUGAACUGUGGGUAGCGGAGAAAUUCCAAUCGAACCCGGAGAUAGCUGGUUCUCCCCGAAAUAGUUUUAGGACUAGCCUCAAGUUAGAUACCUGGAGGUAAAGCACUGAAUAGCCUAGCGGCCGAGAGGUUAGCGAAGCUUAUCAAACUCAGAAUGCCAGAGUAUUGAUGCUUGGGAGUCAGACAGUGUCAGAUAAAUGUCAUUGUCAAAAGGGAAACAGCCCAGAUCUACAGCUAAGGUCCCAAAGUCAGGUUAAGUGGAAAACGAUGUGAAGAUACGUAGACAACCAGGAUGUUGGCUCAGAAGCAGCCACUCAUUCAAAGAGUGCGUAAUAGCUCACUGGUCGAGCGUCUUUGCGCGGAGAAUUUAACGGGGCUAAACCUGACACCGAAGCUUAGGCAGCAUGUUUACAUGCUGGGUAGGGGAGCGUUGUAUACGCGGUGAAACAGUAGCGCAAGCGGCUGUGGAGUGUAUAGAAGUGAGAAUGCCGGAAUGAGUAGCGCGAAUGCAGUGAGAAUCUGCAUGGCCGAAAGCCUCAGGUUUCUGGAGGAAGGUUCGUCCGCUCCAGGUCAGUCGGGAGCUAAGGUGAGGCCUAACGGCGUAGCCGAUGCACAGACGGUAGAGAUUCCGUCACCACCAAAAGAGUUAAACACAGGGACACAUAUGAAGUCUCGGAGCCGGGUGUUGGUUCCGGUAGCGAUCGAGGGAAGUUAGUACCGAAGUCCGGGAUGGAAGAUGGCGAGAAAAGCUGUGUGUAUUUCUGCGGUGCCCGUACCGCAAACCGACACAGGUAGGUAGGAAGAAGAUUCUAAGGCCAACGGGAGAAGGGUUGUUAAGGAACUCGGCAAAUUGACCCCGUAACUUCGGGAGAAGGGGUGCUGCAGCAAUGCAGCCGCAGAGAAUCGGCCCAAGCAACUGUUUACCAAAAACACAGGUUUGUGCUAAAUCGAAAGAUGACGUAUACGAGCUGACGCCUGCCCGGUGCUGGAAGGUUAAGAGGAGAUGUGCAAGCAUUGAAUCGAAGCCCCAGUAAACGGCGGCCGUAACUAUAACGGUCCUAAGGUAGCGAAAUUCCUUGUCAGGUAAGUUCUGACCCGCAUGAAAGGCGUAAUGAUUUGGGCACUGUCUCAACAGCCCGCCCGGCGAAAUUGUAGUACCGGUGAAGAUGCCGGUUACCCGCGACAAGACGGAAAGACCCCAUGGAGCUUUACUGUAGCCUAAUAUUGGGUUUCGAUGUUGCAUGCACAGGAUAGAUGGGACACUGGGAAGCAGGUGCUUUGGCGCUUGUGGAGUGGCCGUUGGGAUACCAUCCUUGCGAUAUUGGAAUUCUAACCUGCGCCUUUGAAUCAAGGCGGGGGACAUUGUUAGGUGGGCAGUUUGACUGGGGCGGUCGCCUCCUAAAGAGUAACGGAGGCGUUCAAAGGUUCGCUCAGCUUGAACGGAAAUCAAGCAAAAGAGUGCAAACGCAGAAGCGAGCCUAACUGCGAGACUGACGGGUCGAGCAGUAACGAAAGUUGGAGUUAGUGAUCCGGUGGUAUGUGAGUGGAAAUGCCAUCGCUCAACGGAUAAAAGUUACCCUGGGGAUAACAGGCUGAUCUCCCCCAAGAGUCCACAUCGACGGGGAGGUUUGGCACCUCGAUGUCGGCUCAUCGCAUCCUGGGGCUGUAGUCGGUCCCAAGGGUUGGGCUGUUCGCCCAUUAAAGCG
rnacentral:rRNA from 1 species